rnacentral:rRNA from 1 species
UUGGAGGGCAAGUCUGGUGCCAGCAGCCGCGGUAAUUCCAGCUCCAAUAGCGUAUAUUAAAGUUGCUGCAGUUAAAAAGCUCGUAGUUGAAUUUCGGGGUUAGUAGGUUGGUCAUGCCUCCGGUAUGUACUGGCCUCACUGAUUCCUCCUUCCUGAUGAACCGUAAUGCCAUUAAUUUGGUGUUGCGGGGAAUUUGGACUGUUACUUUGAAAAAAUUAGAGUGUUUAAAGCAAGCUAACGCUUGAAUACAUUAGCAUGGAAUAAUGAAAUAGGACGUUCGAUCCUAUUUUGUUGGUUUCUAGGAUUGACGUAAUGAUUAAUAGGGAUAGUUGGGGGCAUUAGUAUUCAAUUGUCAGAGGUGAAAUUCUUGGAUUUAUUGAAGACUAACUACUGCGAAAGCAUUUGCCAAGGAUGUUUUCAUUAAUCAAGAACGAAAGUUAGGGGAUCGAAGACGAUCAGAUACCGUCGUAGUCUUAACCAUAAACUAUGCCGACUAGGGAUCGGAUGAUGUUAAUUUUUUAAUGACUCAUUCGGCGCCUUACGGGAAACCAAAGUGUUUGGGUUC